rnacentral:rRNA from 1 species
AAAGUUACUCAAGCGCACAUAAAGGAUGCCUUGACGUCAAGACACCGAUGAAGGACGUAGCAGGUUGCGAUAAGCCUCGGGGAGCUCCUAAGCAAGCUUUGAACCGGGGAUGUCCGAAUGGGGAAACCUUAUGCGAGUCAUGUCGCAUAGCGUAUAGCUGAAUUCAUAGGCUAUGCAGCGGUAAGCUGGGGAACUGAAACAUCUUAGUACCCGGAGGAAAGGAAAGUAAACAACGAGUCCCGGAGUAGUGGCGAGCGAAACGGGAUCAGCCCAAACCUUAUAUGCUCCAGCUGUGUCUCACUGCAGUUCGAACAGCUGAGGUUCUAGUGGAUAGGUUAUAGGUUCUAGAUUUUUCUAGCACCUAACACCUAAAACCUAGUACCUUUGCCUGUCGAGCGUAGCGAGACGCAGCCGGUACGGCUGGUAGGCUAAUGCAUAGAAGGGGUUGUGACUAGCAAUUAACCAGUUCAGGUUGUUCAUUGCGAGGAAUCUGAACUGUUGCAAGAGCUACCAUCUCUUGCGUAAGGUUAGAAAUUUCCGGUGCGAGCAGAACCGGCUGGAAAGCCGGGCCAAAGACUGUGAAAGCCAGGUAUGCCAAGUGUCGGAAACCUUAUGAAUUGCUAAGUCGAGUAGGUCGGGACACGUGAAACCCUGACUGAAACUAGGGGGACCACCCCCUAAGGCUAAAUAUGUCUGACGAUCGAUAGUGGACUAGUACCGUGAGGGAAAGGUUAAAAGAACCGCGGAUAGCGGAGUGAAAUAGAACCUGAAAUUAUGUGCGUACAAGGAGUCGGAGCCCAGCACUUAGAUUUUGAUAGGUAGUUCGAUGGAUUUCCACCGUUCAACCAUCUUACAUCGAUGUCUAAGUGCUGGGUGACGGCGUGCUUUUUGUAGAACGAUCCAGUGAGUUAAUUUGCAGUGCAAGCUUAAGCCAUCUGGCGGAGGCGUAGUGAAAGCGAGCCUUAAUAGGGCGAUUUAGUACUGUGUAUUAGACCCGAAACCGGGUGACCUAACCAUGGGCAGGCUGAAGCGCGGGUAAAACCGCGUGGAGGGCCGCACCAUUACGAAUUGCAAUACGUUUGGAUGACCUGUGGUUAGUGGUGAAAUGCUAAUCGAACCCGGAGAUAGCUGGUUCUCCUCGAAAUAGCUUUAGGGCUAGCGUUGUACGGUAAUAUGCGGGGGUAGAGCUCUGUUUCGGAAUAGGGCCAGUGAUGGUACCUACCCUUGACAAACUACGAAUACCGCAUAUGGAACUACAGCAGUUAGAACGGCGGGGCUAAGCUCGUCGCUCGAAAGGGAAACAGCCCAGACCUCCAGCUAAGGUCCCUAAAUUUACACUAAGUGGGAAACGAAGUGGGAUUUCUUUGACAAUAAGGAUGUUGGCUUAGAAGCAGCCAUUCAUUUAAAGAGUGCGUAACAGCUCACUUAUCAAGAGAUCCUGCGCGGAAAAUUUAACGGGGCUCAAGUGUAAUACCGAAGCUGAGGAUGCGGUGCGUGGCACCACGGUUAACAGUAAACAGUUUUCAGUUUGCUGUGUGUUAUCAGUUUUCUGUUAUCAGUGUAAACGGUUAACGGAUCACUGCUCAUACACCGUAAACAGUUAAUUGCUAACUGGUAACUGCGAUGCUGUGCAUCGCGUGGUAGAGGAGCGUUGAUAUCGCGCUGAAGUCAGAUUGUAAGAUCUGGUGGAGUGUUAUCAAGUGAGAAUGCUGGAAUGAGUAACGAUAAGAUAGGUGAGAAUCCUAUCCACCGAAAGAGCGAGGUUUCCUG